AGUGCUGUGAAGUUGGAAUCGUGGAAUCAGAAGCAAUUGUUAGGUUACUGCAGUCGGAGUUGCUAAAAAUGUAGCGACUUUGACUAAAUGUACUGUAACCCCAUGUAGCCAAAGCGCAGCUAAGCGAAGAAGGGCCUUGACAGGAGUUAGGAGGCGGGCAUAGGAGGAGGAAAAUAAGUAAUGGAGUUAUGGGUAAGUGGG